rnacentral:rRNA from 1 species
UAAGGAAUAUUGGUCAAUGGACGCAAGUCUGAACCAGCCAUGCCGCGUGGAGGAUGAAGGCCCUCUGGGUUGUAAACUUCUUUUAUGGGGGACGAAACCUCUUAGUCUUAAGAGACUGACGGUACCUCAGGAAUAAGCACCGGCUAACUCCGUGCCAGCAGCCGCGGUAAUACGGAGGGUGCAAGCGUUAUCCGGAUUCACUGGGUUUAAAGGGUGCGUAGGAGGGCAGGUAAGUCCGUGGUGAAAUCCUAGAGCUUAACUCUAGAACUGCCGUGGAUACUACCGGUCUUGAAUUCUGUGGAGGUGAGCGGAAUAUGUCAUGUAGCGGUGAAAUGCUUAGAUAUGACAUAGAACACCAAUUGCGAAGGCAGCUCACUACGCAGCGAUUGACUCUGAGGCACGAAAGCGUGGGAUCAAACA